AAAAGAACUUUGAAAAGAGAGUUAAAAAGUGCGUGAAACCGUUGGAAGGGAAGCGAAUAGAGUUUGAAAUUCGCCCUGUCGCGCUUGCUUUCGAUCUUCCCAGACGACGCUUGCACGCUUGCGUUCCGCGAUCGGUGCACUUCCGCUUGGCGAACGUCAACGUCGGUUUGCGCGGAGUCGGAAAGCCGCAAGCACGGUAGAUCUCUCGGGAUCGGUAAGGCUUGCGCGCAAAUGGCUUCGUUCGGACCGAGUUGUGUCGCAGCACGUACCUGCUGGUUGACGUCUUCGUCGUCGAGUCGGUUUCACGGCGCCUGGCGGACGGCUUUGCCUGUCCGCCGGCGUGCGGCCGCUCAAGCGACGGAGAAAGCGUACACCACGUGCUAAGGACGUUGACUGCUCGGCAGCUCUAUACGACCCGUCUUGAAACACGGACCAAGGAGUCUAACAUGUGCGCAAGUCUCGGAGUGAACGAAACUCGUCGGGCGUAAUGAAAGUGAAUGCAGCCUCGGCUGCAGAGAUGAGAGGCUGGCGUAGCGGCAUCAUCGACCGACCUAUUCUACUCUUAGAAAGGUUUGAGUUAGAGCGUACCUGUUGGGACCCGAAAGAUGGUGAACUAUGCCUGAAUAGGGCGAAGCCAGCGGAAACACUGGUGGAAGCCCGUAGCGAUUCUGACGUGCAAAUCGAUCGUCCAAUUUGGGUAUAGCGGCGAAAGACUAAUCGAACCAUCUAGUAGCUGGUUCCCUCCGAAGUUUCUCACAGGAUAGCUGGAACUCGGUGGCAGUUU
rnacentral:rRNA from 1 species